UGCCACCCAGGCGCCCUGUAGGUUGGCACAUUCUAAAAGGAAAUGCUAGACCCCCUAGCUAUGGAGGGCAUGCAAAGGUAUUGGGAAAUGGCCCUGCCAAUAUCAGCCCACUCUCCACCUUCUAUGGAAGAGAGGCCAGAAACAUUCUUUAGGAGCAAGGGCUUCUUUCUAGUGAGUCGUCUGAGUGCUGUGUUCCACAACCCAUCACAUCUCUACUCUGCCAUGGGAAAUAUGCUCUCACCUUAACCUAAGUUCUUCACAAGAACUAUUUGGAAAUCUUGACCUGUGUCUUCUGGAGUUUGAGGGACAUAGGGGAUGGUGGCUGACUUUCACCACAAGAAGCCUGAAGGUGAAAAGCUAGUUGGAGGGGACUGCCUUGCAGCAGAAUGAAGAGAGAAGGUUCUGUGGCAGGGCACUGCACUUCCUUAGAUGAGUGGGCCAUGGAAUGGAGGGGGCACUCAUUCCUGGGCCACCUGUGAAUGGUGUGAAGGAUGCCACCCAAGAGAACCACUUGAAGGGUGAAGAGAUCUGGCAGAAGGGCACUAUAGCCAGAGGUCCCUACUAGAUGGAUCUCCGAGGUACAUAUGCCAUACCAGAUGACGACUGUGUCAGUCACACAAGUGGGAACCAUUUGCACCUACUCCUUCCUCAAGGGCCUGAGGAAAGAGCAACUUGGUGAGUAGCAAGCAGAAAAGGUAACUACGACUUCCUUCUGCACUUCAGCUUCCAAGACUGAAGCAAGCCUGUCUAGAGGAAUGAGAGACGUUUGCAACCCAGCGCCUGCUCGUCCAGCUCACUCCAGGUACCACGACCUUGUCGCAGCCUAUUCGCAGUCCAGAGAAACUGAAGGAAACUGAUUGCAUUAGCUCAGAUGAUCUUCCUUCAAAAUAAGGCUGGAUCUUAUGUCAGAAUGAUUGCAGGAAAGAGGCCUGGCCGAAGAAGCAGAGAAACUCUGGCUUCAGAAACGUUCAAGGUUUAAACAUGGACUCUAUCUCCGCAAGCCAAAGUGUCUGUUCUAAAAGAAGUCCAGCACCUUACAAUUUUUGCAACUGGUCAAAAGAAAGAGAGCUACCAUGCAGGAAUAAUUGGACCAUGCCUGGACAAGCACAAUGAGUUGGACGUAAGCCUUCAAUUCUAAUCUGGCAGCACACUUGUUGAUAAAUUGCAAAACGUCUCCUGGUUUCCAUGGAAAAAAAGGAAGGAUGAUGCUCAGCUGUGGAUAAUAUCAACAACAAUGGGACGAACAAUUUUGAUGAAUGCAAACUGAAAGAAAAUGCAGCAUAUGAAAUUCACAUUUUGGUAUAUUUUUAUUUGCUAAGUCUUUUCAGCUUUAAUAAACACAUGUCAAGAUAUACCUACUAAA